rnacentral:rRNA from 1 species
GACGAACGCUGGCGGCGUGCUUAACACAUGCAAGUCGAACGGAAAGGCCCUGCUUUUGUGGGGUGCUCGAGUGGCGAACGGGUGAGUAACACGUGAGUAACCUGCCCUUGACUUUGGGAUAACUUCAGGAAACUGGGGCUAAUCCCGGAUAGGAGCUCCUGCUGCAUGGUGGGGGUUGGAAAGUUUCGGCGGUUGGGGAUGGACUCGCGGCUUAUCAGCUUGUUGGUGGGGUAGUGGCUUACCAAGGCUUUGACGGGUAGCCGGCCUGAGAGGGUGACCGGCAACAUUGGGACUGAGAUACGGCCCAGACUCCUACGGGAGGCAGCAGUGGGGAAUAUUGCACAAUGGGCGGAAGCCUGAUGCAGCAACGCCGCGUGCGGGAUGACGGCCUUCGGGUUGUAAACCGCUUUCGCCUGUGACGAAGCGUGAGUGACGGUAAUGGGUAAAGAAGCACCGGCUAACUACGUG